UAGUGUUUCUAAAAAUUAAAGUAUUUCAUGAAGGAGAUCCAUUGGUCCAAUAUGCAUCCAUCCACCGCCGUCCAGCAUACUAAUUUCUACCUGAAAAUUGUAAAUAGAGAGGGAUGAGUAUAACGAAUUAUACUCAAUGAGAUACUUGCUGCUCCACAUUCAAAUCAAACGCGAAAUUAUGCAUAAAUUCUCUUACCAACAUAACAUGAGAAUUAUCACACCAUGACAAAUGAUAAUUCAAGCAAGCGCUGCAAAUAACGUGAAGGCUAAAUUGUGCCUUAAACUGUAUCAUGAUUUCUCCCAAAGGAGCUCUGAACUGAAGUAAUUAAAUCCAUACAUAACAACGUAUUUGAAAAGAUGUGGACAAACCACUAAUAGCACUGAGCAUCUCACCUUUUGAAGAUGAACGUGGAAAACAAAAUUGCUGAAAACGUGAUUCUUUAUUGAAAUUCCAAAGCCUUAAAAAGCCUUAAUAAUAUGGAGAAAUAUUUUUAAAGAGGAGGAGAGAAUAAAGACUUGUA
rnacentral:lncRNA from 1 species